AUGCUGAUCGGCCUGCUUCUUGAAUCUGUGUUGGGCACGCAGAAUGUGAUCUCGCAGCCUUGCCGUGUGCACGCCCCAGUCCCACGGCUCACCGUCGAUCAUGGGCAUCGUCUUGUCGUCCCAGAGCGCCAUGGCGCCCAGGUUGGGCUCGAUGCCGUACAGAGCUUUGAAGGGGGAGCAUUUGAUCGAGGAGUGGAACGACGAGUUGUACCAGAAUUCAGCGGUCGGCGGCUAGCGACGCCAUUGCCUGGGCGCGUCGUGCACCACGCAACGCAAGUACAUUUCCAUGCACUGGUUGACGCGUUUGCUCUGGCCAUCCGUCUAGGGGUGGUAUGCUGUGGAGAAGAGCAGCUUGGUGCCCGCACUGGCAAAGAGCUCGCGCCAGAGAGCGCUGGUGAAGACGCGAUCGCGGUCGGAGACGAUGGAGCUUGGAAUGUUGUGCAGCUUGACGACGUGAUCCCAAAAAACCUUGGCCACCUGAGGAGCUUUGAAGGGAUGACGAAGCGGAAUGAAGUGCGCUGA
rnacentral:rRNA from 1 species